GCGCACCAGGCGAGAAUACUUUACAAUGUGCGAAAGCACGAUAAGGGAACUCUGAGUGCCUCCUAAGGAGGCUGUUCUGAUGUCUAAAAAGCAACAGGAGUAAGGGCUGGGUAAGACCGGUGCCAGCCGCCGCGGUAACACCGGCAGCCCAAGUGGUAGCCACGUUUAUUGGGUCUAAAGCGUUCGUAGCCGGCCAGGUAAGUUCCUUGGUAAAUUUAGCCGCUUAACGGUUAAGCUUUCAGGGAAUACUGCUUGGCUUGGGACUGGGAGAGGUCAGAGGUACUCCGGGGGUAGGGGUGAAAUCUAUUAAUCCCUGGGGGACCACCGGUAGCGAAGGCGUCUGACCAGACCAGGUCCGACGGUGAGGGACGAAGGCUAGGGGCGCGAACCGGAUUAGAUACCCGUGUAGU
rnacentral:rRNA from 1 species